rnacentral:lncRNA from 1 species
CUAUCUAGUUAUUCUAGAAUCUAUCAUUGUUCCUUUGAAGAAAUUCAACAUUUGCCUUACAACCAGAGAAUAAACAUCAGCUGCUAGAGAAAGCUAUUGAAUUUCAAAAUCCCUUUGAAAUGUCACAUUAACCUGUUUAACUUUCAGUCAGUUCUUUAAAAUAUCAAACAUUUCCUGAUGACUCCCAGAUCUAAGACUGCUUAUAUUUCUCUAACUUAAAAGUUUGUUUCCUUCACUUGCAAACCAACUGUGGUGAAUGAAUCAGCACUGUUUAGGCCUGGAAAAGUGGAUCACAGCUAUAAUCUGUGUGAGUCCUUCUACAGGUUUUCAAGCAUGACUGCACUCAUGGUCAUCAACAUGGAGGGGAACUGUGACAUCCCAGACUGACCUUCAGCUCAGAGCUUUGGAUCUUAAAUCGAGAAAAAGGUCACCAUCAGAGCUUAGAAUUUAUAAGGCUAAUCACAGAGAAGCCGAUCAGAUCUUCUGAAGUCUGUGAAUGACACCAGGCUCAGGAGGUCAGUCCUAUUGGGUGACGAUGAUCGGAUUUCGUGAGAAUCCGACACAAAGGACUCAGAGGCAGAUCAAACCACCGAAAGCUCAGACUGUUAGACCACAGGGGUACCUUCCUGCGCGGCCUGCGGACACCGGCCGCACUUCGCCAGUCGGGCAGUGGCACAGCUUACGUGCAAGCGGCCCCAGCGCAUGUCUCAUAGAAUCAUGUCGGCAAGGCCAUCCCAACCUCUCUACUGAGCAGGCCCUACAGUCUCCGUGGCCUCGGGAAACAAGCUCCUACCCCACUCACUCGGGAGCGAACACCGGUGACCGGGGCUGCGCUGCGGACUUUUCUCCACGUUGA